GAUGAACGCUGACAGAAUGCUUAACACAUGCAAGUCAACUGGUGGCGUACGGGUGAGUAACGCGUAUAGAACUUGCCUCACCGCUAGGGACAACAUUUGGAAACGAAUGCUAAUACCUAAUACUGUGGGAGAGCUUUGCGUCCUAUUAGCUAGUGGGCGAGGUAACGGCUCACCGAGGCGAGGAUGGGUAGCCGGCCUGAGAGGGUGAUCGGGCGCAAGGGGACAGAGUCACAGCCCAGACACCAGCGGGAGGCAGCAGUGGGGAAUAGAGGGCAAGAGACCGAAGUCUGAUCGAGGAAUUCUGGGUGCACGAUGAAGAUUUCGGAAGGUAUAGAGCUUGCAGUAGGAAAGCGGUACGAACAGAAGAAGUGACGGCUAAAUACGUGCCAGCCGCCGCGGUAAUAC
rnacentral:rRNA from 1 species